GAAAUGCGAUACUUGGUGUGAAUUGCAGAAUCCCGUGAACCAUCGAGUCUUUGAACGCAAGUUGCGCCCGAUGCCAUUAGGUUGAGGGCACGUCUGCCUGGGUGUCACAUAUCGAAGCCUCCUGCCAAUUUCUCUUUGAUUAUUGUGCAGGGUGGAUGUUGGCCUCCCGUGAGCUCUUUCGUCUCAUGGUUGGUUGAAAAUUGAGACCUUGGUAGGGUGUGCCAUGAUAGAUGGUGGUUGUGUGAUCCACGAGACCAAUCAUGUGCUGCUCUAUUAAAUAUGGCCUCUUUUACCCAUAUGCGUUUCUAAACGCUCGUGAUGAGACCUCAGGUCAGGCGGGGCUACCCGCUGAAUUUAA
rnacentral:misc_RNA from 1 species